GGAAAGGGAGGGGUGUGGGGUCGAGAUCCCUGCUGGCUGGGAGGCUAGUAGUCUCCAAGAGUGUUGGUCUCUAUAAAUACUUGUAAAUAAUAGGUGGUGGGAACGGACACAAACAAUAAAAGGACAUGGGUGUGGUGCCUCAGCUGGUCUCUGGGUGUUUUUGGUGCCUAGACUGGUGUUACAUGUGGGGACUCAUCCAGGAUUUGACGCCAGCGACUGUGGUUGGUGACCCUGGAGAUGGAAGGGCUAAAUGGCUGGUGAAGCAGCAGGAGGAGAUGAAGCAGACCUUGGUCAAUCUCCAGUUGGCCCAGCAGACCGAGAAGCAGGCCUUCCUGACCUGGCAGGUGGAACAACAAUGGAGCCUGCAGGAUUUUAUCAGGGAGCAGACCUGAGCUCCUCCCUGCUCAGAGCCGCAUGAAUUGGCACUCUCAGUUGGGUCCCACCACAGCCAGCAUCGCUAUGGAGCCAGGGCCGGGCUGUGCAUUUCCGCUGUCUCACACCAACCCAGCAGCCUAUGGAACCACCCGUUCUUAGUGCUGCUCCUCCCCCAUCUCCCACCUACCCACAUUCUGGUUUGCUGCACACAGUAGCUGUGUCUUGUCUUAAUGUGACUUAUAAGCCCCUUUGUGCA